rnacentral:rRNA from 1 species
CAAUAGCGUAUAUUUAAGUUGCUGCAGUUAAAAAGCUCGUAGUUGGAUUUCGGGUGGGAAUGGCCGGUCCGCCGUUUCGGUGUGCACUUGCUACGCACACCUUGCUGCCGGGGACGUGCUCUUGAGUUCACGCUCGGGACACGGAGUCGGCGAGGUUACUUUGAGUAAAUUAGAGUGUUCAAAGCAGGCCUACGCUCUGAAUACAUUAGCAUGGAAUAACACGAUAGGACUCUGGCCUAUCUUGUUGGUCUGUAGGACCGGAGUAAUGAUUAAGAGGGACAGUCGGGGGCAUUCGUAUUUCAUUGUCAGAGGUGAAAUUCUUGGAUUUAUGAAAGACGAACUACUGCGAAAGCAUUUGCCAAGGAUGUUUUCAUUAA